rnacentral:tRNA from 1 species
AACAGCAUGGCCUAGUGGAGAGAGCACUGGCCUAGGAGUCAGAGGACCUGGGUUCUAAUCUCUGUUCUGCUA